GAAGGUAUAGCUCAGUGGUAAAGCACAUACUCAGCAUACACGAAGUCUUGGAUUCAAUUCCCAGUACCUCCA
rnacentral:tRNA from 1 species